rnacentral:lncRNA from 1 species
CUUUUUAUUAUUCUUAUCUUAUUCCUUUAGAUAUAAUGCUUCUUUUCACCUUGAGGAGCUAAUAUAAAAUUAAUUUAUUGUAGAGAACUCUUAUUGUUGUAACAGCUGAUAAUAUGAAUACAUAUUUACCCACAUUACUAGAAAGAAGGCUUCACAAGGGUUGGCAGGGGACUGGUGGCGCUUGAACAACAGGAAUUAAGGGAGAGAUUUGAACUUGUAUGUGAUUGAUCUUUGUGUUUUAAAUAAGAAUUAAACAAGAAUUUUAUGCUUAUGUAACCAGUACUUGAAGCAAGUUUUACUACAUUUUGUUCAUAUGUCAAAUUGAAUAAUCCGGUCAGAAACCCAGGGUACCGAUUCUUCUUGUCAGCAAUACUUUGAAAGUAGGGAUUUAUUGAGACUUCUUUUAUUGCCUCAGCUUUAUUACUUUUGCAAAAUAUGUGAUGGGUAUUAAGCUUGGAUUUACUAGGGUACUUAAAAAUCUUGUCAAAAUGAAACUGUUUGAAAGUAUUUGUGAGAGGGGUUGCUUUUGCUUUUGGAAUCUUAUUCAUUACUGAAAAUAAAAUAUGCUCAACUUUUUCAUUUUUACAGCAGUCAUUUAUUUUACUGAUUUCAAGCCAAUAGUUAACUUUAGGAAAUGCUUCACAUAUUUUAACUAAUUUUGUGAUUUAGCUUUUUAAAAAUGAGGCACAUUUUCAGCUUUACCCCCUUUUAGAUACCUGAUGUACGUAUUGCUGAAGAUAUGUUGCUCUCUUUGCCAUUGUAAAUUCCGUUGAAAGAUCAAUUUCUUUUUUCUACCACUUUGUUGUUCAGAUUUUGGAAUUUCAAGAGGGUUUGUUGUCAACU